GCAUAUCAAUAAGCGGAGGAAAAAGAAACCAACAGGGAUUGCCUCAGUAACGGCGAGUGAAGCGGCAAGAGCUCAAAUUUGAAAGCUGGCCCCCCUCGGGGUCCGCAUUGUAAUUUGCAGAGGAUGCUUCGGGAGCGGCCCCCAUCUAAGUGCCCUGGAACGGGCCGUCAUAGAGGGUGAGAAUCCCGUCUGGGAUGGGGUGUCCGCGCCCGUGUGAAGCUCCUUCGACGAGUCGAGUUGUUUGGGAAUGCAGCUCUAAAUGGGUGGUAAAUUUCAUCUAAAGCUAAAUACUGGCCGGAGACCGAUAGCGCACAAGUAGAGUGAUCGAAAGAUGAAAAGCACUUUGAAAAGAGAGUUAAACAGCACGUGAAAUUGUUGAAAGGGAAGCGCUUGCGACCAGACUCGCUCGCGGGGUUCAGCCGGCAUUCGUGCCGGUGUACUUCCCCGCGGGUGGGCCAGCGUCGGUUUGGGCGGCCGGUCAAAGGCCCUCGGAAUGUAACGCCCCCCGGGGCGUCUUAUAGCCGAGGGUGCCAUGCGGCCAGCCCGGACCGAGGAACGCGCUUCGGCUCGGACGCUGGCAUAAUGGUCGUAAGCGACCCGUCUUGAAACACGGACCAAGGAGUCUAACAUCUACGCGAGUGUUCGGGUGUCAAACCCGUGCGCGCAGUGAAAGCGAACGGAGGUGGGAACCCCCCGGGGUGCACCAUCGACCGAUCCUGAUGUCUUCGGAUGGAUUUGAGUAAGAGCGUAGCUGUUGGGACCCGAAAGAUGGUGAACUAUGCCUGAAUAGGGCGAAGCCAGAGGAAACUCUGGUGGAGGCUCGCAGCGGCUCUGACGUGCAAAUCGAUCGUCGAAUUUGGGUAUAGGGCGAAAGACUAAUCGAA
rnacentral:rRNA from 1 species